GCCGGGCAUGGUGGCACGUACCUGUAAUCCCAGCUACUCAGGAGGCUGAGGCAGGAGAAUUGCUUGAACCCGGGAGGCGGAGUUGCGGUGAGCCAAGCUCAUGCCACUGAACUCCAGCCUGGGUGACAGAGCAAGAUUCUGUCUCAA
rnacentral:SRP_RNA from 1 species